UGUGUUACACAUAAAUCUUAGUCUAAGAUUAAAUUAGAAAAAGGAAAGAAAUCAUAAAGUAUGAGGGAAAUGUUAACAAAUUCCCAUCCACUGUUUAAGGUGGUACCUAACACUUUAACAAACAUUUAUUUGGCUCGUUUAAUUUUGAUAAAAUUUUGACAAAGUAUUUACUUUGACCCUUUAACAAAAAUAUAAAAAUUUCAAAAAAUUUUGAACCAACCGUUUUGUCAGAAAAUUAGGUUAUAUAGCAGUUUGACAAACACCAAUUUUGUCUUUGUGAAGCUUAUUAUUCCCUUUACAACACAACGUAAUUAAAACGUUUAGCUGACUUUACAGAGUUAUCUCCCUGUAGUGUUAGGUACCACCUUAAGUUAGAAAUAAAAUUGCAUGUUAGUAAGAGUUGAAAGAGAGUACAAUCUUGUUUUGUGCCUUUAACUAGUCUUUUAAGAGGGUCUGGAUGGAAUUUACACCAUCGAUUCUAAUUAUGAGCCACUACAGCAGAAAAAUGAGCAACAAAAUAAAAGAAAUAAGAGGGAAAUAGGCGAAAAAUAAAGUAUAGAGAAUAAUGGCGUACAAAAGUAAAAAGAAUAGAGCAAAAUGGGAAAUAAAUAUAAAGCAUAUAUAUUUUUAAGAGACUAUUGCAGAUCCAUUUGCUAUAUACAUUAAUUUUCCUUAACAUAAAUCGACAUAAAAAUCAUGCAUUGAACUGAAUACAACCAAUGAAAGCGAAGCUCCAUUUUUACAUGUUUUAUUAAUAUAUUAUGUAUUGAUUCUGGAAACAAAUUUAUUUACAUUUUUUGGCAAUUUUUAAACUAUUUAUCAAUUUAGAAGCACUACAUGUUUGAUCUGAUCAAAA
rnacentral:lncRNA from 1 species